CCAUACCACCCUGAUUGCGCCCGAUCUCUUCUGAUCUCAGAAGGUAAGCAGGAUCAGGCCCAGUUAGUAUUUGGAUGGGAG
rnacentral:rRNA from 1 species